GCCAAUGGGCAGUACAACGAGAAGCGAACCUGUGAAGGCAAGCGGAUCUCUUAAAGCUGUUCUCAGUUCGGACUGUAGGCUGCAACUCGCCUACACGAAGCUGGAAUCGCUAGUAAUCGCGGAUCAGCACGCCGCGGUGAAUACGUUCCCGGGCCUUGUACACACCGCCCGUCACACCAUGAGAGUUUGUAACACCCGAAGUCGGUGAGGUAACCUUUGGAGCCAGCCGCCUAAGGUGGGAC
rnacentral:rRNA from 1 species